UAGGGAAUCUUCCGCAAUGGACGAAAGUCUGACGGAGCAACGCCGCGUGAGUGAAGAAGGAUUUCGGUUCGUAAAACUCUGUUGUUGGGGAAGAAAAAAUGUAUAGUAACUAUAUACAAAAGAGACGGUACCUAACCAGAAAGCCACGGCUAACUACGUGCCAGCAGCCGCGGUAAUACGUAGGUGGCAAGCGUUGUCCGGAAUUAUUGGGCGUAAAGCGCGCGCAGGUGGUUUAGAAAGUCUGAUGUGAAAGCCCACGGCUCAACCGUGGAGGGUCAUUGGAAACUAAUAAACUUGAGUGCAGGAGAGAAAAGUGGAAUUCCUAGUGUAGCGGUGAAAUGCGUAGAGAUUAGGAGGAACACCGGUGGCGAAAGCGGCUUUUUGGCCUGCAACUGACACUGAGGCGCGAAAGCGUGGGGAGCAAACAGG
rnacentral:rRNA from 1 species